GUGUGUUUCGACACACUAUCAUUAACUGAAUCCAUAGGUUAAUGAGGCGAACCGGGGGAACUGAAACAUCUAAGUACCCCGAGGAAAAGAAAUCAACCGAGAUUCCCCCAGUAGCGGCGAGCGAACGGGGAGGAGCCCAGAGCCUGAAUCAGUGUGUGUGUUAGUGGAAGCGUCUGGAAAGGCGCGCGAUACAGGGUGACAGCCCCGUACACAAAAAUGCACAUAUUGUGAGCUCGAUGAGUAGGGCGGGACACGUGGUAUCCUGUCUGAAUAUGGGGGGACCAUCCUCCAAGGCUAAAUACUCCUGACUGACCGAUAGUGAACCAGUACCGUGAGGGAAAGGCGAAAAGAACCCCGGCGAGGGGAGUGAAAAAGAACCUGAAACCGUGUACGUACAAGCAGUGGGAGCCUCUUUAUGGGGUGACUGCGUACCUUUUGUAUAAUGGGUCAGCGACUUAUAUUCUGUAGCAAGGUUAACCGAAUAGGGGAGCCGAAGGGAAACCGAGUCUUAACUGGGCGUUAAGUUGCAGGGUAUAGACCCGAAACCCGGUGAUCUAGCCAUGGGCAGGUUGAAGGUUGGGUAACACUAACUGGAGGACCGAACCGACUAAUGUUGAAAAAUUAGCGGAUGACUUGUGGCUGGGGGUGAAAGGCCAAUCAAACCGGGAGAUAGCUGGUUCUCCCCGAAAGCUAUUUAGGUAGCGCCUCGUGAAUUCAUCUCCGGGGGUAGAGCACUGUUUCGGCAAGGGGGUCAUCCCGACUUACCAACCCGAUGCAAACUGCGAAUACCGGAGAAUGUUAUCACGGGAGACACACGGCGGGUGCUAACGUCCGUCGUGAAGAGGGAAACAACCCAGACCGCCAGCUAAGGUCCCAAAGUCAUGGUUAAGUGGGAAACGAUGUGGGAAGGCCCAGACAGCCAGGAUGUUGGCUUAGAAGCAGCCAUCAUUUAAAGAAAGCGUAAUAGCUCACUGGUCGAGUCGGCCUGCGCGGAAGAUGUAACGGGGCUAAACCAUGCACCGAAGCUGCGGCAGCGACACUAUGUGUUGUUGGGUAGGGGAGCGUUCUGUAAGCCUGUGAAGGUGGCCUGUGAGGGUUGCUGGAGGUAUCAGAAGUGCGAAUGCUGACAUAAGUAACGAUAAAGCGGGUGAAAAGCCCGCUCGCCGGAAGACCAAGGGUUCCUGUCCAACGUUAAUCGGGGCAGGGUGAGUCGACCCCUAAGGCGAGGCCGAAAGGCGUAGUCGAUGGGAAACAGGUUAAUAUUCCUGUACUUGGUGUUACUGCGAAGGGGGGACGGAGAAGGCUAUGUUGGCCGGGCGACGGUUGUCCCGGUUUAAGCGUGUAGGCUGGUUUUCCAGGCAAAUCCGGAAAACCAAGGCUGAGGCGUGAUGACGAGGCACUACGGUGCUGAAGCGACAAAUGCCCUGCUUCCAGGAAAAGCCUCUAAGCAUCAGGUAACAUCAAAUCGUACCCCAAACCGACACAGGUGGUCAGGUAGAGAAUACCAAGGCGCUUGAGAGAACUCGGGUGAAGGAACUAGGCAAAAUGGUGCCGUAACUUCGGGAGAAGGCACGCUGAUAUGUAGGUGAAGCGACUUGCUCGUGGAGCUGAAAUCAGUCGAAGAUACCAGCUGGCUGCAACUGUUUAUUAAAAACACAGCACUGUGCAAACACGAAAGUGGACGUAUACGGUGUGACGCCUGCCCGGUGCCGGAAGGUUAAUUGAUGGGGUUAGCGGUAACGCGAAGCUCUUGAUCGAAGCCCCGGUAAACGGCGGCCGUAACUAUAACGGUCCUAAGGUAGCGAAAUUCCUUGUCGGGUAAGUUCCGACCUGCACGAAUGGCGUAAUGAUGGCCAGGCUGUCUCCACCCGAGACUCAGUGAAAUUGAACUCGCUGUGAAGAUGCAGUGUACCCGCGGCAAGACGGAAAGACCCCGUGAACCUUUACUAUAGCUUGACACUGAACAUUGAGCCUUGAUGUGUAGGAUAGGUGGGAGGCUUUGAAGUGUGGACGCCAGUCUGCAUGGAGCCGACCUUGAAAUACCACCCUUUAAUGUUUGAUGUUCUAACGUUGGCCCGUAAUCCGGGUUGCGGACAGUGUCUGGUGGGUAGUUUGACUGGGGCGGUCUCCUCCUAAAGAGUAACGGAGGAGCACGAAGGUUGGCUAAUCCUGGUCGGACAUCAGGAGGUUAGUGCAAUGGCAUAAGCCAGCUUGACUGCGAGCGUGACGGCGCGAGCAGGUGCGAAAGCAGGUCAUAGUGAUCCGGUGGUUCUGAAUGGAAGGGCCAUCGCUCAACGGAUAAAAGGUACUCCGGGGAUAACAGGCUGAUACCGCCCAAGAGUUCAUAUCGACGGCGGUGUUUGGCACCUCGAUGUCGGCUCAUCACAUCCUGGGGCUGAAGUAGGUCCCAAGGGUAUGGCUGUUCGCCAUUUAAAGUGGUACGCGAGCUGGGUUUAGAACGUCGUGAGACAGUUCGGUCCCUAUCUGCCGUGGGCGCUGGAGAACUGAGGGGGGCUGCUCCUAGUACGAGAGGACCGGAGUGGACGCAUCACUGGUGUUCGGGUUGUCAUGCCAAUGGCACUGCCCGGUAGCUAAAUGCGGAAGAGAUAAGUGCUGAAAGCAUCUAAGCACGAAACUUGC
rnacentral:rRNA from 1 species